rnacentral:tRNA from 1 species
UUAAGUGAAAGCCAACUUGGCACUUACCUGUUACGUAAGCCCCUGCUCAACGAGCUCACUUAAA